GAAAAUCCUAAGGAACAUUUUAUUUUUCAAUUUCAUUUAUUUCAUUUUUGUUUAUACUUUAGUAUGCAAGGAACAUUUUAAUUUUUUCUUAUUUUUUGAGAGGAAAAUUACAUGCUCAUUUUAUUCAUGUCUCUAAAUGCAAAGGCCCAAACAAAUAAAAAUUAAGAAAUUAAAUCCAAGAAAAUAAAAAGAAAGAAAUGCAACGAAAAUUUAACAUUUGAAAAUAUUUUUAAUUAACUCUAUUAAUAGAGAAAAACUAUUUUACCUUUUUAAUAGGAUCAGAAAACACAUUUAAUAUAAUGUAGUACCUAUUCAUGAUUACUGGAAAAAACAAACAUAUAAACCUCAAUGUAUUAGGUUAACUUCCACAUCCUGUUAAAUAAUAUGUAGUGAAACUGGAUAGGCAAACAAAAAACAAAAAAUAGAACUCUACAGUAAACAUUAUCUUUAACAAAAUUGGGUCAAUUUCAGAAUGAUACCGUAAGCCUUGAAGCUAUUCCCAGCAAAAUGGACUUAUAAUUUCCACUUUUGCUCAGGCUUGUUUGAAAUAUGUUUCCAUCACUUGCAUCCCAAAUAAUGCUCACAAAACACAAGACUCCUUAGCUAUUGCCAGUACAUUACAAUUAAAUGGAAGAUGUACAUUUUCUCCCAUGCAGGUUGUGUGACUAACUAAAAAUGCCAAGUUUAUUAGGUGUUGCUGGAGUCAUAUCAACUUAGUGUAUCAACCUUGCCUUAUUUCAGAUGUUCUGAGUGUCAGUUAUAUUUGUAUUUCAUAAAAAGAAAGAUAAAGCCAAAAUCAUUACUGCCUAAGAUGUGCUGUUUUCUUGCUAGACAGAAUCAUUCACAACCUGAGAUCAGUGGGGAAAUACAAUGCAAUGAGUCCUGGGUGCUGAAAAUGUCAACUCUUUGGAUGUAAUUAAAUGGAUCUGUGAGUGUAGUAUAGACAGAAUCUGAGACAGAAUUUGAUCAUUUCUCAAGUUCCCUCUUUUACAGUUUUGAAUUGUAACUUGCGUACCAAGCGUGAGCUUGACUAUGAGGUCUCAAAGUUUUGAACCUUGUGUUCUGAAUUUUCUUUAGCUUUCUAAGUGAGGAUGUUUCCUGAGCCAUAUGGAACUACAUAGCUCCACCAGGGUCCUCAAACUAUAGACCUCUCCCCAGAGCCUAGGCUAUCAAUUUGGCUGUUUUGUCUUCUCCCACACAGUCUGAGGUUUUCUUAGUCACCAAAGAAUUUUUUUUGGACGUAUGACAGAACUAAGUCCUAUAAAAAGGCUUUGGUGUUACCAAGAUUAUGGAAUUCCCUUCUUAGUAUAAUUAAUAAAAACAGUAGUAAUAUAUAAAACAAAUGUAAGAAAUCCCCCUGCCCCCCACCACAAAUUCUUAUUUCUCCCAUGCUAUUUGAAUGUUUUAAAAACAUUGGGUAUUCAAUUCUCUCAAAAAUAUUUUGUGUUUUUGCUUCUCAGGAAGCCUAUUUUAUGGACCAUCUGGCAGUGAAUGCAGUUAAUCCAGGCAACACUUCCCUAUUUUCUUUUUCUUUUUCUUUUUUUUUUUUGAGAUGGAGUCUCACUCUGUCCCCAGGCUGGAGUGCAGUGGUGCGAUCUUGGCUCACUGCAACCUCCGCCUCCCAGAUUCAGGUGAUUCUCCUGCCUCAGCCUCCCGAGUAGCUGGGACUGCAGGUGCGUGCCACCACACCCGGCUAAUUUUUUGUAUUUUUAGUAAAUACAGGGUUUCACAUGUUGGCCAGGAUGGUCUCAAUCUCUUGACCUUGUGAUUUGCCUGCCUUGGCCUCCCAAAGUGCUGGGAUUACAGGCGUGAGCCACUGCUCCUGGCCCACUUCUCUAUUUUCUUUUGUUCCUAUCUACCUGGAAAACACUGAAACCAAUUCAUGUAAAAAUUUGGCCACCAGCCUAAGGUACCAGCUCUACAUUCUUAUCUGUGGUGUUUCCAUCAUAUAAGCUUUCCUGCUUAUUUUCAUCCUCAUGUUGCAGGAACAGGACUGUUUGUUCCCUGACUCUUUCCUUCCAGAAACUUUUCACAUGGUGUCUAGAUAGAACAUCAAUUGAGUGGUUAAGGAACUAUUCUACAUCCACAUCUAUAUCCUCUUUACUGGAUGUUCUCUUCAUCAGUUACCUUUCCAGAGACCUGGCUCUUCCAUGGGAAGAGGUUUCUACUUAUUUUUUUCAAGUGGGGGAUGUUG
rnacentral:lncRNA from 10 species